GAACGAACAUUUGUAUACAAAUCGUAUUAAUUAGCUCGGAAAUUGAAAAGAGAGAAAAAAAUCUUCGCCAGCUACAAGCAUCAAGAGGUAUUUUUUGUCUAUAACAUUUGAGAACAAAACACAUCAAUUCUGUUUUCGUCACUUGAGUAACGAGUUGUAGACAGACAAUCCUGCCAAGAAAAAAGUGCAGCGAAAUAUUAUUUGUAAAAUAGCUUCAGUCAUUACUCAAUUUGACUAAUUAUUUAGUUGAUCGGUGUUUCAUUUACUUAGUACGUCCAAAAAGAAGUAAACGAUUAUUAUCCCAUCAAAAAAUUCCAUAACUUUUAAGCAAAAAGAAAAAAAUUUCCAUAACUUUAUUUAGUUUGGAAACAUAGGAGAAAGUUUAAUUCCUUAGUGGGAUUUUUAUGAACUGAGCACCCACUGAUAAUAAAAGAAAAAAAAAACAUAUGAAGGCAUCGUUUUUUAUGGGUGCACUAACUUAGGUUUUACCAUCUAUUCUAGCAUUAUUAUGAUAAAUUCACUCACAAAUAUCAAAACAUAAAUAUAAUAACGGGUACACGUGCACCCUUAAUGCCAAUUAGUAGCUAUGUUUUAGUCAGGAAAAAAAUUAAUAGCUUUGUUGAAACGAAACCCGCCGUAGGCCUCAUUCGUUGACCCGUAACACUUUAAUCAACUUAAGUGUGUGUGAACACAUUAGUCAACUUGCAUUAUGUUACAUGAGCUAUUUCGCCCGGUCAGAUCUUUUAUUUUGUUUUAUGUUUACUUUUUUUUUGUGUACUUUUUUUUUUUUCCAUCUGAAAGUUUAUUAAUGGGUCAAUGUCCAAAAGGACAGAGCCCAAAACAUUACACACAAACGGCCCAACAGAAAGGCAAAC
rnacentral:lncRNA from 1 species